GACGAACGCUGGCGGCGUGCUUAACACAUGCAAGUCGAACGGAAAGGCCCUGCUUUUGUGGGGUGAUCGAGUGGCGAACGGGUGAGUAACACGUGAGUAACCUGCCCUUGAUUUUGGGAUAACUUCAGGAAACUGGGGCUAAUACCGGAUAGGAGAUCAUGCUGCAUGGUGGGGGUUGGAAAGUUUCGGCGGUUGGGGAUGGACUAGCGGCUUAUCAGCUUGUUGGUGGGGUAGUGGCUUACCAAGGCUUUGACGGAUAGCCGGCCUGAGAGGGUGACCGGCCACAUUGGGACUGAGAGACGGCCCAGACGCCUACGGGAGGCAGCAGUGGGGAAUAUUGCACAAUGGGCGGAAGCCGGAUGCAGCAACGCCGCGUGCGUGAUGACGGCCUUCGGGUUGUGAACCGCUUUCGCCUGUGACGAAGCGUGAGUGACGGUAAUGGGUAAAGAAGCACCGGCUAACUACGUG
rnacentral:rRNA from 1 species